rnacentral:misc_RNA from 1 species
AAAUAAAAAUCGGGGUUGUUGCUGCCUUUCGUGGUGACGCUUCGGAACUGGGUCGUCUUUGCCUUCGGUUAAGUGACCUAAAAUUUCGGAUGAUUUUUCGAACGUAUUUAAUUUUUUUAUGUACGUUUGUAUAUCGAAUAUUAGAUGUGGUCAUUUCCAUGAUUCGCGUCUAUAAUUUUUCAUU